UUAAUCCUACGGGGGGCAGCAGUGGGGAAUAUUGCACAAUGGGGGGAACCCUGAUGCAGCAAUGCCGCGUGGGUGAAGAAGCACUCCGGUGCGUAAAGCCCUGUCAGCAGGGAAGAAAAUGACAGUACCUGACCAAGAAGCCCCGGCUAACUACGUGCCAGCAGCCGCGGUAAUACGUAGGGGGCAAGCGUUAUCCGGAUUUACUGGGUGUAAAGGGAGCGUAGACGGUUAUGUAAGUCUGGAGUGAAAGCCCGGGGCCCAACCCCGGGACUGCUUUGGAAACUGUGUAACUGGAGUACAGGAGG
rnacentral:rRNA from 1 species